CAGAGGAAAGACCCAGAGCCACCCGCUCUGAAUCCCGACCCCUCCCCAGGGGGGCGAACCCCCCGGGAAGAGGCCGAGGCACGCACCCUAAGGGACCUUGGAGCUCUGGGUUCCGCAGCCCCCCCGCGUGGGCGAGGCCGCCAGCCGAGGCCGGAGGCCGCAGAGGAGAAGAGUGAGGCUAAGUAACUUUGGAGUCGGGAUUUAAAAAUAAAAACGGAGGCUCUAGAGCCCACAAUCCAAAUCAAUAAACUGUAAUUCCGAAACAACAAAAGAAGAAUGCUCAUCACCUUUUACCAAUCCUAAUUGGCUAUUUAUUUCAGGUUCAUCAAGCCCCAUGGCAAUGAUGGGGACCAACAUGACCUCAAUGAGUGCAUCUACCUCUCCAGCCAACCAUACUUUCCACUCAGAGCCUAUGCUGCAUCAACUUGAAGACUAGCAGGACCGUGAAAUGUAGUCUGUGCAUUUUCCUCCCCCUAUCUUUAUCAUUGAAGUUCAUUCUGCCUAGAACUGUUUCCAUGAAUUCCUUAUCAUCUCUACAUUUCUGGAGUAGCUCAGUCUCUGGAGGUCCAGAGUCGAGCUCUGUUCCAAUCCUCAUCCCAACCUAUUUCUCCACCUAUAUUUCCUGUCUCCAUUGUGGACAUGUCACCCCCAGCAUUCAAAAUCAAAAUUCCCAUCACUUUUGAUCUCGUAUCCAAUAAAUUACAAAGUCUGAUCAAUUCUCCUGCAAUAGUAAAGCCUCACUCACUCCCUCUUUCCAACUGCCCCUGAGCAUCUCAGACAGCAUCCAUCCAUCAUACCAUCAGUGCGGCAGACAACAGUGGCAUACCAGGUAUUUCCACCACAGAAGGAUGGGAAGUGCAACAUGUCUUUCCCGCUUCUAUCCCCCUCUAAUUUCUUGAAACCUGGAAGUUCUUUUAAAGAUAUUUUUGGAGGCAAAAUAAAGAAAAUAGUACAAUAAACUUGCAUGCAUCAAACAGUUUCUUGAACAGUUACCUACAUAUUAUUCAUUCUAUUUUACUUAGACUCCCUCCAAACCACACACUCUGGACUUUUAAAAAUGAAAUGUAAAGUAUCUAUUCCAUAAAAAAUACCCCAGUACACAUUGUUAAAAGAUAGACUUUCUUCAUUUUUAACAAAAGCACAAUAUCAUCACACUAAGAAGAAUUAACUAAAAAUC